rnacentral:rRNA from 1 species
UUUGAUCCUGGCUCAGAGCGAACGCUGGCGGCAGGCCUAAUACAUGCAAGUCGAACGGAUCCUUCGGGAUUAGUGGCGGACGGGUGAGUAACACGUGGGAACGUGCCCUUUGGUUCGGAACAACUCAGGGAAACUUGAGCUAAUACCGAAUGUGCCCUUCGGGGGAAAGAUUUAUCGCCAUUGGAGCGGCCCGCGUCUGAUUAGCUAGUUGGUGAGGUAAAGGCUCACCAAGGCGACGAUCAGUAGCUGGUCUGAGAGGAUGAUCAGCCACACUGGGACUGAGACACGGCCCAGACUCCUACGGGAGGCAACAGUAGGGAAUCUUGCGCAAUGGGCGAAAGCCUGACGCAGCCAUGCCGCGUGAAUGAUGAAGGUCUUAGGAUUGUAAAAUUCUUUCAGCGGGGACGAUAAUGACGGUACCCGCAGAAGAAGCCCCGGCUAACUUCGUGCCAGCAGCCGCGGUAAUACGAAGGGGGCUAGCGUUGCUCGGAAUUACUGGGCGUAAAGGGCGCGUACGCGGACAGCUUAGUCAGAGGUUAAAGCCCAGGGCUCAACCUUGGAAUCGCCUUUGAUACUGGCUGUCUUGA